GAUGAACGCUGGCGGCGUGCCUAAUACAUGCAAGUCGAGCGAAUGGAUUAAGAGCUUGCUCUUAUGAAGUUAGCGGCGGACGGGUGAGUAACACGUGGGUAACCUGCCCAUAAGACUGGGAUAACUCCGGGAAACCGGGGCUAAUACCGGAUAACAUUUUGAACCGCAUGGUUCGAAAUUGAAAGGCGGCUUCGGCUGUCACUUAUGGAUGGACCCGCGUCGCAUUAGCUAGGUGGGGAGGUAACGGCUCACCAAGGCAACGAUGCGUAGCCGACCGGAGAGGGUGAUCGGCCACACUGGGACUGGAACACGGCCCAGACUCUUCCGGGAGGCAGCAGUAGGGAAUCUUCCGCAAUGGACGAAAGUCUGACGGAGCAACGCCGCGUGAGUGAUGAAGGCUUUCGGGUCGUAAAACUCUGUUGUUAGGGAAGAACAAGUGCUAGUUGAAUAAGCUGGCACCUUGACGGUACCUAACCAGAAAGCCACGGCUAACUACGUGCCAGCAGCCGCCGUAA
rnacentral:rRNA from 1 species